GCUGAUGACCCCCACGCUUUUUAUUGACCAUUUUGCACGCAAACUGGAAAACCUGGCGUCGUCAUCUAUUCUUAAAGAGCAAGGCAACUAAGCCUGCAUUAAUGCCAACUUUUAGCGCACG
rnacentral:misc_RNA from 2 species